rnacentral:lncRNA from 1 species
CAGAGACAUGAAGCUCCCUGCUUCUCUUUGCAGUUCUUAAAAUACCCAAAACACACGGCUUAAAAUGCCACCUGGCAUAGAUAGGAUCUUUCUUGUGAGAAGAACAAAAAUGUUUUCCAAAGUUACAAAUAAGAUAAAGGGCCAGUGGUGAGCGCACAUUUAAAAUGUGUACUGAUGUAGUCUCUUCUGCUCAAAUCAAACCCCGGUUUAGUGUCUUUCGAAGGUUUGAUGGACGUCUAAGUGAUGGCCUUGAAGGUCUAAAUGUGUUGAGCAGGUUUGCACGGCAGGACAUGGCUGGGUAGUUAUCUUUCCCUCCUUCUGCUUUAAGUCCAGUCCUCCAUUCAGUGGACCUGGCUGUUUAAGUGGGGCUGGGCCUUUCACACACUGAAAAGCCAGUUCUAAAUCAUUCCUAGGAGAACCUGUGUAUCACAGGUACACAGUGAGCACCCACAGUUUUCCUGGAACUCCUGUGUAGAUCAGGCUAGCCUCAGAAUUCAGAGAGCCACCCGUCUGGCUCAGAGUGGAUUGUUUUUAAGGCAAAAUAGUAUCCAUUAAUUGAACUCUUGAGUCACACUAGAUCAACCAAAUGACCCUUUAAAUGUCACUGGCUUCAUAACCUGGAAUUCCCCUACUUGUUGAUGUAUUUGAAUAGGUCCCUUCUUUCCCUGCACCUCAAUUUUGCAGUAACUAAAGCCCAGAUUUCCAAUCUCAAGAACACUGCAUGUGGGGUAGCUAAUGGUGGUCAGGCUAGUACUCUGUACAAGUGGUUGGAAGAAACACCAUUCCCAACUGGGUGAAACGGCCCAGUUCUUCACUGAUCCAAACCCUGUCCAACACAAACGUGUUUAUCUUCCUCCUCACCAAUCCCGGGAGAGCUAAAAGCAUCCGUCAGUCUCGCCGACCUGCAAUAGCAUUCUAUCCAGACUCAGCCGUAGCAUCGUCACAGACUCGGAGAGCAGUGUGCUUCAUUAACCAAACUGGCUGGGAAACCAGUUAGUUUUUAAGAGGUUGAUCACUUUAUCUAAUUUUUACCUUAAAUAUCAUUUAUAUUUUGUGUAUACACGAACAUUUUUACCUUUAAUAUGCUGGUGUAUUAACUCUCCAUUCACUUAGGAAUUCAUUUCCUCCAUCUCUAAUGUAAACUGCUCUUCAAUAAAAUUUAAAUCAUGUCUGCUUACCUUA